rnacentral:ncRNA from 3 species
CUGACACGCGUGCGAGUCGACGGGUUCUGAAACCUGGGAUGUGCAAGGAAGCUGACGAGCGGGAGGCCUUCAUGGGCCGCACCGUUGGCUGACCCUGAGCUUCUGUGAAGGGUUCGAGUUGGAGCACGCCUGCCGG